AUGGGCCGCCCCAGGCCGCUCACCUCGGGCGGCAUCGACCCCAUCGCCGAGGAGUCGUCGCCGUCGCGGUCGCCGCCGCACCACCCCGCGCCCUGCGCCGACCCGGCGGCCCUGGCCUGCGCGAUCUCCGCGCAGGCCAGCGCGGUGCUGGCCGUGAUGCGCCGGGGCCUCCGCCACCCGCGCGCGGACGACGCGGCGGCCGACCACCCGCUCGUGGCCUCCCUCAAGGCCCUGCGUCGGCUCGCCUUCGCCGCCGCCUCCCCCCAACACUCCCCCUCGCUCCCGGCCGCCGCGCUGCGGCCCUUCCUCGACGCGGUGCGCUCCGAGGACGCCGGCGCCGACGCCACCUCGGCCGCCCUCGCCGCGCUGCACGAGGUCAUGGCGCUCACGGCCCCCGCCCUCCCGGGCUCCGCGCUGCGGGAGGUCGUCGACGCCGUCGCCUGCUGCCGCUUCGAGGCCGGCGCCGACCCCGCCGCCGAGGAGGACGUGCUCGUGCGCAUGCUGCAGGCGCUGCUCGCCUGCCUCCGCGCCCCCGCCGCCCCCGCGCUCGGCGACCAGCACGUCCUCACCGCCGUCAACACCUGCUUCCGCGUCGUCCACCAGGCCGCCGCCAAGGGCGACCUCCUGCAGCGCUUCUCCCGCCACGUGAUGCACGAGCUCGUCCGCCUCGUCUUCGCCCGCCUCCCGCAGAUAGGCGCCGGCGGCGACGCCGACGACGCUGCCGUCAAACCAGAGAUGGGUGGCAUGGAUAAGAAUCAUCCAUUUGGUAUUGGGCAAAUGGAAAAUGGAAACGGAAGCUAUGUGUCCGAGGCAGGUACACCUGAUGAGAAUUCUCCGGAUGGUAGUGUCCUUGUUGUGGAGCCAUAUGGAACUCCUUGCAUGGAGGAGAUUUUCCAUUUCCUAUGCUCUCUCCUCAGUGGUGUCGAGCUGAACGGGUAUGAUGAAGGUCAACCUUUGUUUGCUCUGAAGUUGAUCAAUUCAGCGAUAGAGCUUGGUGGGUCUGCAAUUGGGAGGCAUCCAAAGGUGCUGUCGCUGGUCCAAGAUGAGCUUUUCCGAAACCUAAUGCAGCUUGGCUUAUCGAUAAGCCCGCUUACUCUUUCGGUGGUGUGCAGCAUCGUGUUGAAUCUUUACCAUCACCUCCGUAAUGAGCUCAAGAUGCAGCUUGAGGCCUUUUUUUGUUGCAUAAUUCUAAGGCUCGCACAGCCCCGAUUUGGAGCAACAUAUCAUCAGCAGGAGGUUGCAAUGGAAGCUCUUGUGGACUUCUGUCGACAGAAGAAUUUUAUGGUGGAGAUGUAUGCCAAUCUUGACUGUGACAUAACAUGCAGGAAUGUGUUUGAGGAGCUUGCAAAUCUUUUAUCAAAGAGUGCAUUUCCUAUUAACUGCCCCUUGUCUUCUAUGCACAUUCUUGCUCUGGAAGGCUUGAUUGCUGUGAUUCAGGGAAUGGCUGAUCGGAUUGGGAAUGCAACCUCUGGCCCUGAACUAAGGUCUGUGGAACUUGAUGAAUAUGCUCCAUUCUGGACUGUUAAGUGCGAGAAUUUUUUGGAUCCUCAGCAUUGGGUGAAAUUUGUCCGCCAAAGGAAGUAUGUCAAGAGGAGGCUAAUGAUUGGCGCUGAUCACUUCAACAGGGACCCGAAGAAAGGUCUGGAGUUCCUUCAAGGCAAUCAUCUGUUGCCCGAGAAGCUUGAUCCGCAGAGUGUGGCUUGUUUUUUCCGCUACACAGCUGGUCUGGAUAAGAAUCUCGUAGGAGACUUUCUCGGCAAUCAUGACGAGUUUUGUGUUCAGGUGCUUCAUGAGUUUGCUCAGACCUUUGACUUCGAGGAGAUGAACUUGGAUACAGCUCUGAGGUUAUUUUUGGAGACAUUCCGACUACCUGGAGAAUCUCAGAAGAUACAGAGGGUUCUUGAGGCCUUUUCAGAUAGAUACUAUGAGCAGGCUCCGCAAGCUUUUGCAAAUAAGGACACUGCUUUGCUGCUGUCUUACUCAAUUAUAAUGCUGAACACUGAUCAGCAUAACAUGCAGGUGAAGAAGAAGAUGACCGAGGAGGACUUCAUAAAAAACAACAGGAGCAUAAAUGGGGGUAGUGACCUCCCACGUGAGAUGUUGUCUGAGCUAUACCACGCUAUCUGCCGAAAUGAGAUUAAGACCACGCCCGAGCAGGGCAUGGGAUAUUUGGAAAUGUCUCCCAGCCGUUGGAUAGACCUAAUGCGGAAGUCCAAGUCAACACCCCAGUAUAUUGUUGGUGAUUCUCAACCUUUCCUCGACCACGAUAUGUUUGCUAUCAUGUCUGGCCCUACUAUUGCUGCCAUUGCAGUGGUAUUUGAUCAUUCGGAACAUGAAGAAGUUCUGUUGACCUGUGUGGAUGGCUUCUUGGGCAUCGCAAAGAUCUCAGCAUUUCAUCAUCUUGAAGACGUUUUGGACGACCUUGUUGUUUCUCUCUGCAAAUUCACCACUCUUUUGAAUACCUCUUUGGUCGAGGAACCAGUCACUGCCUUUGGAGAUGAUCUGAAGGCUAGAUUGGCAACUGAGACACUGUUUACCAUAGCUAAUAAAUACGGGCAUUACAUACGUACUGGUUGGAGGAAUGUACUGGAUUGCAUCCUGAGACUGCAUAAGCUAGGGCUUCUUCCUGCCCGUGUUGCUAGUGAUGCAGCUGAUGAUUCAGAAGUUUCUGCUGAAACUGUCCAAGGAAAGCCUGUUCCUAGCUCAAUCUCCACAUCUCACGUUCCAGUGAUGGGUACCCCUCGGAAAUCCUCUGGGCUCAUGGGAAGAUUUAGUCAGCUACUCUCGCUUGACAGCGAGGAACCAAGAUCACAACCAACUGAGCAGCAACUUGCUGCCCACCAGAGGACUCUUCAGACAAUCCAGAAGUGCCGCAUUGAUGGCAUAUUUACAGAGAGCAAAGUUUUGCAACCUGAUUCACUAUUGCAGCUUGCCAGGGCACUGAUAUGGGCUGCAGGGCGGCCUCAAAAGGUUGCCAGCUCGCCAGACGACGAAGACACAGCAGUAUUCUGCUUGGAACUCCUCAUUGCCAUCACGCUUAACAAUCGAGAUCGAAUUGUGCUCCUCUGGCAAGGCGUAUAUGAGCAUAUUGCCAACAUAGUUCAGUCCACAGUCAUGCCAUGCGCCCUUGUGGAGAAAGCUAUUUUUGGCCUUCUGCGGAUAUGCCAGAGGUUACUUCCAUACAAAGAGAACCUUGCUGAUGAGCUGCUGAGGUCAUUGCAAUUAGUUCUGAAGCUGGAUGCACGUGUAGCGGAUGCAUACUGUGAGAACAUCACACAAGAGGUUGCACGGCUUGUCAAAGCAAACGCGGGACACAUAAAAUCGCAGAUGGGUUGGAGAACUGUGGUGUUGCUGCUCUCCAUUACAGCUCGCCACCCAGAUGCUUCAGGGGUAGGCUUCGAGGCUAUAAUGUUUAUCAUGUCAGAGGGUCACCUUUCAAGAUCAAAUUAUGCCUUCUGCAUCGAAGCGUCGAGGCAGUUUGCCGAGUCCAGGGUUGGUCUAACAGACAGGUCUAUUCGCGCCCUGGAUUUGAUGGCUGAUUCGGUCACUAAUCUCGCCCGGUGGUCGCAAGAUACAAAAGAGGCAGGCGAAGAAGCUGAUAGAGGGGUGGAAGCAAUCAGGGAAAUGUGGCUCAAACUGCUGCAAGCGCUGAAAAAGCUGAGCCUGGACCAGCGAGAGGAGGUGCGAAACCACGCAUUGGUUUCGCUCCAGCGAUGCCUAACGGCGACCGAAGGGAUAGGCCUCCAGUCCGCCACAUGGUCGCACGCUUUCGACCACAUCAUAUUCGCUUUGCUGGACGACCUGCUGGAGAUCGCCCAGAACCACUCGCAGAAGGACCACAGGAACAUGGAAGGAUCCCUCGUGCUCGCCGUGAGACUGGUAGCGAAGGUGUACCUUGAGCUGUUACCGGACCUCUUCGGGCUGAGCAGCUUCUGCAAGCUGUGGCUGGGGGUCCUCAGCCGGAUGGAGAAGUGCAUCAAGGCCAAGGUCCGGGGCAAGCGCAGCGACAAGCUUCAGGAGCUGAUCCCGGACCUCCUCAGGAACGUCCUGGCCGCGAUGAAGGGCAGGGGGAUCCUCGCCAAGAGGAGCACGAUAGGGGGCGACAGCCUGUGGGAGCUGACGUGGCUCCAUGUGAACAACAUCUCGACGGGCCUGCAGUCGGAGGUGUUCCCGAGCCAGGAGUACGAGCCGCCGAGCAAUGCCGGUAGCCCGAGAGGGGGGCUGAACGAUGCCGAGAUCAAGAACUAG
rnacentral:rRNA from 1 species